rnacentral:rRNA from 1 species
AUUGAACGCUAGCGGGAUGCCUUACACAUGCAAGUCGAACGGAGUGGCGAACGGGUGCGUAAUGUAUCGGAACGUGCCCAGUAGCGGGGGAUAACUACGCGAAAGCGUAGCUAAUACCGCAUACUAUUGGAACCGCCGAUAGCUGAUUAGCGAGGGGGUGGGGUAACGGCUACCCAAGGCGACGAUCCGUAGCUGGUUUGAGAGGACGACCAGCCACACUGGUACUGAGACACGGCCCAGACUCCUACGGGAGGCAGCAGUGGGGAAUUUUGGACAAUGGGGGAAACCCUGAUCCAGCCAUCCCGCGUGUGCGAUGAAGGCCUUCGGGUUGUAAAGCACUUUUGGCAGGAAAGCGGUACCUGCAGAAUAAGCACCGGCUAACUACGUGCCAGCCGCCGCGGUAAUUC